rnacentral:rRNA from 1 species
UACAGAGACCUCAAGCAUUAUCCGGAUUUAUUGGGCGUAAAGGGUCCGCAGGUGGUUUGGUGCGUCAUCGGUUAAAUCUACGGGCUCAACCCGUAACCGACCGGUCGAUACGGCCAGACUAGAGGGUGGGAGAGGUGAGCAGAAUUACGGGUGUAGUAGUAAAAUGCGUUAAUAUCCGUAAGAAUACCAAAUGCGAAGGCAGCUCACUGGAACACACCUGACACUCAGGGACGAAAGCGUGGGUAGCGAAA